rnacentral:rRNA from 1 species
GUGGGGAAUAUUGGACAAUGGGCGCAAGCCUGAUCCAGCAAUGCCGCGUGUGUGAAGAAGGCCUGUGGGUUGUAAAGCACUUUCGGGUGGGAGGAAGGUACCGUAAGGUAUUUGACGUUACCACCAGAAGAAGCACCGGCUAACUCUGUGCCAGCAGCCGCGGUAAUACAGAGGGUGCGAGCGUUAAUCGGAAUGACUGGGCGUAAAGCGCGCGUAGGCGGUUAUACAAGUUGGGUGUGAAAUCCCUGGGCUCAACCUAGGAAUUGCAUUCAAAACUAUAUAGCUUGAGUGGGGUAGAGGUGAGUGGAAUUUCCGGAGUAGCGGUGAAAUGCGUAGAUACCGGAAGGAACACCAGUGGCGAAGGCGACUCACUGGACCUUAACUGACGCUGAGGUGCGAAAGCGUGGGGAGCAAACAGGAUUAGAUACCCCGGUAGUCC